UCGGUUUUGAGGCGACUUUGCGGUUUCAUCAUGGAAAACCAGGGCAGGCCGGCCAAGCUGCGCCCGUCCGAGUCGCCUUUAUUGAGCCCUGCGAGUCCCGCGUUAACGCUGCCGAGCUAAACAAACACAAGCGCCAUUGAAGAUGAACUGGCUGACGAGCGUCCAGCUCCUCCGCGAUAACUCAACUAUCCUAAGCGUUUUAACGUGUUUAGCAGAUCGCGAAGCCAAAUGGGGCGACUAACAGUGUAAAAGCGGAGUAUUAGUCGAGCCAAGUCCAUUAAAAUCAGAGAUAUUUCUCCUUUAGCUUGGCUCUUCUGCGAGUCGCCUUUUCUUUGUGCGUCAGGAGAGUCAUUCACGGGGCUGGCGCUGGGUUUCUUUCCUGUGCUCUGAUUGGCUGCCCGCGCCGAUCCGCGCCACGCCAUUGGCCCGCCGAGCUGUCGAUCGGCUGCGCGCCGGGCUGUCGUGACCGCGCACAGGCAGACAGUGCACGUAAGAGUCUGUGUCUGGAGUCUGUCUGAAACUGAUUAAAAAAUUGGUGAUGGGGUGAUUUUUUCUUUUCUUUCCUCCUCUUUUCUUCCCCCACGGCCGGGGUCCUGGCCGUUAGCUGAGAAAGAAGCGACGGGAGGCUGAACGGAACUUUACAUCCAUCAUCCAUCCAAGACUUUGUGUUAUUUUGUGAAAAAAAAAGAAAACAAAAACAAAACAGCAUUGCAUUGUAGAGCCUUGCAAAGUUUCAUGCCAUGUUGUUGACGCUUUUUUUCUCUCGUCAGAGUGCGUUAAAGCUCAGACGGCCUGGAGACUUUCUGGAGCCGCGGGGCUCCACAGGUCAACUUCGUCCGCAGACACUGACCGCAGUGCGGAUACGCUCAUCUCCACGGCGCGCAGUCGGACCUCACGGACCACGUCGUGGCCUUCAGGCUGUGAAAUUUUUCUCACUUUAUUGGAACCGGGAUCCUGAUGAGACAUUUCUUCGCCAAACACGAGUAUGUCAGUGAGACGUGUGAGACGGCUGUUGCUACACCACUGACCCAAGUCAACGUUCAGACUUUUUUUCUCAGCUUUGAGAUCUAUAGACGGGAGUCAGUCAGGCACCUCUGUGCUCGACCGUUGGGCGUCAUUUCCUCAUACAAGGCCCACUAUAAAGGAAAUGUAGAUGAGGCAUUGUCCGCGCAUGGGAAACUCCGGUCGUCCAGCUUGAUCCGUACACUCCCCUCGACACCACUGCGAGAGGGGCAGGUGGACUACGCUUACACUACUCCGAAGUUUGCAGAAGAACACUGUUUGGGAGCAGACAGAAAUAGUUCUACCUGUUCUGGCCGAGAAACUUUAUCCAACAGUCCGAAUCCCAACAUUCGUCCGGUCAUCACUGUCUUAUAUUAAACCCUACUUCUGUUUUUCACAGCAGCUGUAGCCGGAUUCACAAACACUUUCUUAAGAAAAGACUUGCGAAGGUUCUUAAAACAAACACUAAUAAAGUUCGCAAGAAUGUAUGUAAGAAUGCUCUUGAAUGCAGUUCUUGAAAAUACCUUAAGAAGUUCUCAAAUACUCUUUUGAGAUAAUCAUUUCUUAAGAUUUUGUUUGUUUUUGUUUUUGUUUUUUUUACGAAGGCUACUUUUAAUUUUAUUUUACGCUGUACUGCGAAGGUUUUGAACAUUUUUAAAUUUCUAUUAACUGCUAUAUCAGUUAUUAGUUUAUUAGUCCACUCAGAGGAGCGAAAUGGGGGAAAAACAUCAAACCAAGCAUUUUAACAUUUUAGCAAACAAGAACUAGAAGUGACGGAGGGAAGGAACAGUCUACUUGAAAAAAGUUCUCCUUAGAAAAUAUAAUAAACGUGCAGUGGCGGCUGAAAAAAGAGGCGAAGAUGAGGAGCAGCAGAGGCAGCAUCUGAGACUGACCUCAUCAACUCCCACAGCCGGAGAUGAGUUAAGAAUCAUAAUAAGGUCACCAAGACAUUUAAGAACAAAGUUUUCAACGUUUUUCUUUGAGUCAUUCGUCAGAAAACAGUUAAGACAAAAAAGAGGAUUCUUAAGAAGUUACUUACAGAAGGACAAACACCUUUUUUCUUUCUUAAGACUCUUUCAUGGUUCCGGCCCCUGGUUUACGUUAAAUGACGAAUGGGCCAACAGGAAAGAUCCGGAAUGACUUGUUGCUUGUAUCCAACCUUUCCUUACAGCAGCAACACUGUUGCCUACAGAUUUACAGCUGAAUGAAUUUAUGCAUUGUUUCCUGUGUUUGGUUUCAGACCAAUUCCUGUGCAGUUAUGUGGCCAUAUAUGAUCGUGUGCAAAAGUUUGGGCGCCCCCGCUUCUUCUACAUGGAGCACAAUUACUUUUUAUUUACUGAAUGUAUCACUUUGGGGGAAAAUAAAUAAAUAAAACAUAAAAUGUAGCCUGUGCAAAAGUUAUGCCACAUUAGAUUUGACAUGUUAAACUCAAACCCACAUUCGGUAUUAAGUGUGUCCUCUGUAGAGGAACGUGUUUAUUCAUCUUCACUUAGAAGAUCACCAGAACAUUUUGAGCGUUUGAGCUUCUUCGUUUCUUAUGAACUUUGCGCAGUGUGACUGUUUUAUUAGUGUAAAUAACACUGGGCCUCAUCCAUUAUGUGGGGUUUGUUCUGGGGUAAGAACAGAAUCUACAUACACUCAAGAGCGCAAAGGUGAGAACGGUUCUGCGCUUUAAAAACACGAAUCUGACGCAGACUUUUUCUUAGAACCUUUCUCAGUCACACAUUUAAGAGCGAACUGAGAGAUGUUGGAAAACGCCGGCGAAUGAGGCCCAGUGUCUGUUAAACUGAACGGAUUUGUUUUGCUCUGCAUGGAAAUAAUAAAGUUCCCACUUUAAGCAGA